AUGGCGGCAUCCGUCCUCCCACUGCUGCCACUAGUGCUUGUCUUGCUCUGCCGCCUCGAUCACCUCGCCGUCGCCACGGCCUCCACCCCCAACCCCGACCCCGACCCCGACUCCGACUGGACGCAGCAGCAGGCCGCCGCCCUGGUCGCCAUCAAGGGCUCCUUCACCUCCUCGCCGCCGGCGCUGCACGCCUCCUGGACGCUCGCCAACCACGCCGCCCUGUGCCGCUCCUGGCCGGCCGUCGCCUGCGACGCCCGCGGCACCACCGUCGUCUCGCUCGACCUCUCCGCGCACAACCUCUCCGGCGCGCUCUCCCCGGCCGUCGCCAACCUCACCGGCCUCCGCUUCCUCUCCCUCUCCAACAACGCGCUCGCCGGCGACCUGCCCCCCGCCCUCGCCGCGCUAACGGACCUCCGCCAUCUCAACCUCUCCAACAACCAGUUCAACGGCACCCUGCAGCGCCUCGACCUCUCCGCGAUGCCCGCGCUCCAGGUGCUCGACCUCUACGACAACGACCUCGCCGGCCCGCUCCCGGACGCCAGUAAGCUGCCGGCCAGGGCGCUCGUGCACCUCGACCUCGGCGGCAACUUCUUCUCCGCCACCAUCCCGCGCAGCUUCGGAUCGCUGGAGGCCGUCCAGUUCCUCUCUGUAGCCGGCAACAGCCUCACCGGCGCCAUCCCUCCCGAGCUCGGCAACCUCACCGCGCUCCGCCAGCUCUUCCUCGGCUACUUCAACCAGUUCGACGGCGGCAUCCCCGCCGAGCUCGGCCGGCUAUCCAGCCUCGUCCACCUCGACCUCGCCAGCUGCGGCCUGCAGGGCGCCAUCCCGCCGUCGCUCGGCGCGCUCACCAGGCUCGACACGCUCUACCUCCAGACCAACCAGCUCAACGGCACCAUCCCGCCGGAGCUCGGCAACCUCACCGCCCUCCGCUUCCUCGACGUCUCCAACAACGCGCUCACGGGCGAGGUCCCGCCGCAGCUCGCCGCGCUCCGGGAGCUCAGGCUCGUCAACAUGUUCAUCAACCGUUUCCGCGGCGGCGUCCCGGAGUUCCUCGGCGACCUGGAGCACCUCCAGGUGCUCAAGCUGUGGCAGAACAACUUCACGGGCUCCAUCCCGGCGGCGCUCGGCCGCGCGGCGCCGCUCCAGGAGGUGGACCUGUCGACGAACCGGCUGACCGGGGAGGUGCCGCGGUGGCUGUGCGCGCGCGGCCAGCUCCAGAUCCUCAUCCUCCUCAACAACUUCCUCUUCGGCCCGGUGCCGGAGGGGCUCGGCGACUGCCCGACGCUCACGCGGGUGCGCAUCAGCAACAACUACCUCACCGGCGAGCUCCCGCGCGGCUUCCUCUACCUGCCGGCGCUCACCACAGUCGAGCUGCAGAGCAACUACCUCACCGGCCAUCUUCCAGAGGACGACGGCAUCCCGGCCAAGGAGAGGAAGAUGCUGUCGCUGCUGAACCUGUCGAGCAACAGGUUCAACGGCUCGCUGCCGUCGUCCAUCGGCAGCUUCUCGUCGCUGCAGACGCUUCUCCUCAGCGGCAACCAGCUCGCCGGCGGGAUCCCGCCGGAGGUCGGUCGGCUGAAGCGGCUGCUGAAGCUGGACCUGAGCGGCAACAACCUGACCGGCGAGGUGCCCGGCGAGAUCGGCGAGUGCACGUCGCUGACGUUCCUGGACCUGAGCGUGAACCAGCUGACGGGCGCGAUCCCGGGGGCGCGGCUGGCGGAGAUCAAGGUGCUCAACUACCUGAACGUGUCGUGGAACAAGCUGGACGGCGGCGUCCCGGCGGAGAUGGGCGGGAUGAAGAGCCUGACCGCGGCCGACUUGUCCCACAACGACCUGUCGGGCGUGGUGCCGCAGAGCGGGCAGUUCGCCUACUUGAACGCGACGUCGUUCGCCGGCAACCCGCGGCUGUGCGGGACGACGAUCGCGUCGUCCAACCCGUGCAACCUGACGUCCAUGUCCGGGCCGCGGGUCUGGCCGGACGGCGGCGGCGACAAGCAGCCCGCGUCGACGUCGUCGGUGGGGCGGCUGAAGCUGGCGGCGGCGCUGGGGCUGCUGGCGUGCUCGGUGGCGUUCGCAGCAGCGGCGGUGGCGACGACACGGUCGGCGAUGCAGCGGAGGCGGCGGCAGCGGGGCAGCGGCGGGUGGCGGAUGACGGCGUUCCAGCAGAAGGUGUCGUUCGGGUGGUCGGACGUGGUGCAGUGCGUGAAGGAGAACCAGGUGGUGGGGCGGGGCGGGGCCGGCACGGUGUACCGCGGCACGAUGCCCGGCGGGGAGGCGGUGGCGGUGAAGCGCAUCGCGGCGGCUGGUGGGCCCGGGGACGACGGCGGGUUCUCGGCGGAGGUGCGGACGCUGGGGCGGAUCCGGCACCGGCACAUCGUGCGGCUGCUGGCCAUCUGCUCGUCGGGCGACGGGAGGAGCAACCUGCUGGUGUACGAGUACAUGGCUGAGGGGAGCCUGGGGGACGUGCUGCAUGGGGAAGGUGGCGACGGGAACGUGAUGGCGUGGGCGACGCGGCUGCGGGUGGCGACGGAGGCGGCGAUGGGGCUGUGCUACCUGCACCACGACUGCUCGCCGGCGAUCCUGCACCGGGACGUCAAGUCCAACAACAUCCUGCUGGAUGAAGGGAUGGAGGCCCACGUGGCGGACUUCGGGCUGGCCAAGUACCUCCGGCAUGGGCAUGGCGCCGCGUCCGAGUGCAUGUCCGCCAUCGCCGGAUCCUACGGCUACAUCGCGCCAGAGUACGCCUACACGCUCAAGGUGGACGAGAAGAGCGACGUGUACAGCUUCGGCGUGGUCUUGCUGGAGCUCAUCACGGGGCACCGGCCGGUGGGCCCGCACCUGGGCGAGGACGGCAGCCUGGACCUGGUGCAGUGGGUGCGCGCCCGGGUCGACCAAGGUGGCGGAGUGGAGGCGGUGCUGGACCCGCGGCUGGGCGGCGACGUGCCGGCGUGGGAGGCGGCGCAGGCGCUGUUCGUGGGGAUGUUGUGCGUGCAGGAGCAGAGCGUGGAGCGCCCCACCAUGCGGGAGGUCGUCCACAUGCUCCAGCAGGCCAAGCUGCCGCCAACUCCGUCCCUGCACGACCUCCGAGGAGGCGCCAUACCUAUGCAUCCUUCUGCUGCUGCUGCUCGUGUCCGCGUCGUCCACCACGACGAGGAGGCUGCUGCCGGAGGAGGAUCGGACAGUGAAUGCGAAGGCCGAUGA
rnacentral:rRNA from 1 species